rnacentral:lncRNA from 1 species
AUGGCAAUGGGCAGUGCCAGCAGUGGCUGUGGCAUCCUGGAGCAGGAAGAUUUGGUGCAUUUCUAGUGCAGCAUAGGCCAGAGUGACGUUUCUGACAUUUGGGAUGCUACAGCACUGAUAGAAGUGGAUGAUAAAGCUGUGGCUUCAUUUAAACAGGCUCUAAAGAAUGAUGACAUUUGUGAAACCUCAGAUAAACCAAAAAGCAUGCCUAAUAGAAAACCUGCUAAGAAGCAUAAAGGCCAAAAAAAGAAUACUGUAACUUUCUUGAAGUAGUGGAAAGUUGGGGACAAAUGUCCUGCCAUUUGGUCAGAAGACAGCUGCAUUUACUCUGCUACCAUUGCUUCAGUUGAUAUGAAGAGAGAAAGCUGUGUUGUGAUUUACACUGGAUAUGGAAAUAGAGAGGAGCAAAUCUGUCUGAUCUACUUUCUUCAACCUCUGUAGCUAAUAAUAUAGGACAGAAUGCUCAAAAGAAUGAAAAUGAAAGUCAAGAUUCAAUGGAUGAAAGUGAGAACUCCAGGUCCUGGAAACAAACCAUUUAGCAUCAGGUCAGAAGCUACUCCAUGGAAUUCUGAGACCACGAAAGCCAGGUCAGGUCUCAAAUUCAGUAGCCCACCACCCACACCACCCUGCUUCCCCUCAUGCUUGCUGCCUCCAUUUCCUUCUGGACCACCAAAAAUUCCCCCACCACCUCCCACAGGUCUAGAUUUUCUUGAUGAUGUUAAUGUUUUAUGAAGUAUGCUAAUCUCUUGGUACAUUAAGUGGCUAUCAUACUGGCUAUUAUACAGGGCUCAAGCAAAAUUAAAAAGAGGGAGAGUGCUCACGUUCCAAUUAA